rnacentral:sRNA from 1 species
UUGACUUUGCUGCUUUUUCAACCUACCGUAAGGACAAAGGGCGAGGAGGGAUUUCUCCCCCCUCUGGUCUCUUAGUAAGCCGGUAAGCUAAUGACUAAGAGAAUGACCAGUAUGAUGACUAACCUCAUCAUAACCCUUUUCCUUUUC